rnacentral:lncRNA from 1 species
GACUGCCAACUCAGUCCACCAAAUGGCUGUGGCCAGAUGAGAUUUCUCAGGACUAAGCCUGGGGUGGGCAGCAACUUGGGAGCCAAAGGGAUGAACUAGAGGAAGUUCAGAAAAUCAAGCUCGGACCCAGUUUUCAGUUUGCGUCUCAAAAAUAAGGACAAACUGAAGUGCCCAUCGUGACUCAAUGGAAACGAAUCUGACUGGUAUUCAUGAGGACACAGUUUCGAUCCCUGGCCUCCCUGAGCGGGUUAAGGAUCCGGCGUUGCCGUGAGCUGUGGUGUAGGUCACAGACGCGGCUCUGAUCCAGCAUUGCUGUGGUGUAGGCCAGAAGCUACAGUUCCGAUUGGACCCCCUAGCCUGGGAACCUCCAUAUGCUGAGUUCCCUUGUGGUACAGAAGGUUAAGGACCUGGUGUUGUCACUGUAACUUUUUAGAUCACUACUGUGGUGCAGGUUCAGCCCCUGGUCCAGGAACUUCCAUGUGCCACAGGAAAUAUCACCUGGAGAUAUUCAUUGACUGUAUUUAAGUGAUCUUCAUCAAGGAGACUUAGACCCUUCGCAGUCCACAAGCUUAUCAAUUCUCAGAGCUUCAAGUUCAGGAAAUCUACAGUAGAAUCCAAUUUGGGAAGAACAGAAUUGCUGGACAACGAAUAAAUCCUGCUGAGCACAGCGUAAAGGAAUUCAUGGCUGAACUGAGGUGUCCAACUACACUUAAUCUUGAAAAUCUUUUCAUAAUGAUCUUUCUUGGCUAUAAUUUAAAAGGCCAGAAAUAGAAGAACGAGGAAAAAGAGAACAGACACCAUGGACAAUCUAUAAAAUCAUCUAUGAUCUUUCUAUAUUUCUUCUGAAGAUUCUUUUUAUCCCAGCUCAUUGUCUGCUCCUCUCCAGGUACCUUCCUAGCUUCCUCUUGAGAUACUCCUUGGACUCCCUGUUUGUGAAACUUUCUCAGACACAAAUUAGUAGAGAGGUUAUUAUAAGCUUGGAGGCAGAGUCAAAAAUCCCUUGAAUGAAGUAAUCUAUCAGCAAAUCAUUCUCCCAGCCCCUACUUAUCCCAGACCCAUCACUGAAAAAUUACUGUAUUUCCUCUAUUUAUUGAAGUACAUAAAUGUGUUAAUUUUAUAAUUAGGAAUAACUUAGAGACAUGAUUAUUCUCUUUAGGUAUCUUAAGAGCUAUCAUUUCUAAGAUGAACUUCUCUUUAUAUCUCCUUAAGGUGAAAUUAAGUUUUAUAAGUAGACUUAUCUAUAGGCCAGUUUGGGGCUACUCUAGGGAAAGCCUUUCCAAUAACUAGUCAGAUAGUAGGAUGGAAUACCUAAUGACUAGGAGAGAUUUCUAUUAUUGAAGUCACUUGAAGGUCACGGAAGAGGCUAGGUGACCACCUGAAUGAGUUUCCUGAAUAUAGUGGUCCUUUAUCAAAAUUUUGUCUUGGAGAUACUUAAACCCAAGGACUUUACAUCAGAUUUUCAUUGAUCUAACCAUUUGUCUACUUAUCUAUCAUAUCAUAUUGGAUGUCACAGUCAAGGGUUUGCAGUCGAUAGGUAUAUUUCUUACUGUCAGUAAGCUUGCUCUGGGUUUAUGAGAUCCAGUAAAGAUACACCUACAU